rnacentral:rRNA from 1 species
GACGAACGCUGGCGGCGUGCCUAAUACAUGCAAGUAGGACGCACAGUUUAUACCGUAGCUUGCUACACCAUAGACUGUGAGUUGCGAACGGGUGAGUAACGCGUAGGUAACCUGCCUAUUAGAGGGGGAUAACUAUUGGAAAACGAUAGCUAAUACCGCAUAACAGUAUGUAACACAUGUUAGAUGCUUGAAAGAUGCAAUUGCAUCGCUAGUAGAUGGACCUGCGUUGUAUUAGCUAGUAGGUAGGGUAAGGGCCUACCUAGGCGACGAUACAUAGCCGACCUGAGAGGGUGAUCGGCCACACUGGGACUGAGACACGGCCCAGACUCCUACGGGAGGCAGCAGUAGGGAAUCUUCGGCAAUGGGGGGAACCCUGACCGAGCAACGCCGCGUGAGUGAAGAAGGUUUUCGGAUCGUAAAGCUCUGUUGUUAAGGAAGAACGAGUGUGAAAAUGGAAAGUUCAUACUGUGACGGUACUUAACCAGAAAGGGACGGCUAACUACGUGCCAGCAGCCGCGGUAAUACGUAGGUCCCGAGCGUUGUCCGGAUUUAUUGGGCGUAAAGCGAGCGCAGGCGGUUAGAAAAGUCUGAAGUGAAAGGCAGUGGCUCAACCAUUGUAGGCUUUGGAAACUGUUUAACUUGAGUGCAGAAGGGGAGAGUGGAAUUCCAUGUGUAGCGGUGAAAUGCGUAGAUAUAUGGAGGAACACCGGUGGCGAAAGCGGCUCUCUGGUCUGUAACUGACGCUGAGGCUCGAAAGCGUGGGGAGCGAACAGG